UGGACUGUUUUUAUACGACCGCAAAAAUUGAAAAUUUUUUGGUCGUAUAUUGGUAUGACGUUGGCGUCGUCGUCGUCGUCGUCGUCGUCGUCCGAAGACACAUUGGUUUUCGCACUCUAACUUUAGUUUAAGUGAAUGGAUCUCCAUGAAAUUUUACCAUAAGGUUCAAUACCACGAAAGGAAGGUGGGGAUUGAUUUUGGGGGUUAUGGUACCAACAGUUAAGGAAUUAGGGGCCAAAAAGGGGCCAAAAAUAAGCAUUUUUGUAACUUCCAGACAAUAACUUGUGUGUAAGUGUAUGGAUCUCUCUGACAUUGUACCACAAGGUUCCAUAUCACAAAGGGAAGGCUGUAAUUGAUUUUGGGGGUAAUUGCCUCAAAAUUUUAGGAAUUAGGGGCCAAAAAAGGGGCAAAAAACAAGCAUUUUUCUAGUUUCAUGACAAUAACUUGUGUGUAAGUGUUUGGAUAUUUCUGAAAUUGUACUACAAGGUUCCAUAUCACAAAGGGAAAGCUGGAAUUGAGUUUGGGGGUAAUAGCCCUAAAGUUUAGGAAUUGGGGGCCAAAAAGGGGCCAAAAAUAAGCAUUUUUCUAGUUUCCAGACAAUAACUUGUGUUCAAGUGUAUGGAUCCCUCUGAAAUUGUACUGCAAGGUACCAUACCACAAAGGGAAGGCUUGGAUUGAGUUUGGGGGUGAUGAAUCAUAAGGGGGUUCAAAAAAUUUGGGGGGGGGGAUUUUUUUUUUUCUUUUUUUUUCUUUUUUUCCUUUUUUUUUUCUUUUAAAAUUUUCCAUUUUAAGUUGGUUAUUUCUGAUUAAUAUUUUAAAGCAAAUAAUAAUGAUAUGGUAGGAGAUACACACCAAACAGGAUGUGUAAAUUAUUAUAUAAUAAGUAUUGUGCAAUAGCAAGAAAUUUUCAAUUGCACAGUAUUGCACAAUUGCAAGAAAUCUUCAAUUGCACAGUAUUGCACAAUAGCAAGAAAUCUUCAAUUGCACAGUAUUGCGCAAUAGCAAGAAAUAUCCAAUAGCACAAUAUUGCGCAAUAGCAAGAAAUUGUCAAUUGUACAGUAUUGCACAAUAGUAAGAAAUAUUCAAUUGCACAGUAUUGUGCAAAAGAAGAUACUUCGUAUAAAUUGCUUAUUUCUUGAUCAAUUUCAAUGGGGUUUUAUUCUUGAAUUCUUGGGGUUCUUUAAUAUGCUGAAUCUAACCGUGUAUUAAGUUUUUGGAUUUUGGGCCCCGUUUUUAAAUUGGUCCACAUUGAGGUCCAAAGGGUCCAAAAUUUAACUUUGUUUGAUUUCAUCAAAAAUUGAAUUAUUGGGGUUCUUUGAUAUGCCGAAUCUAACCGUGUAUUUAGAUUCUUAAUUUUUGGUUCCGUUUUCAAAUUGGUCUACAUUAAGGUCAAAAGGGUCCAAAAUUAAACUUAGUUUGAUUUUAACAAAAAUUGAAUUUUUAGGGUACUUUGAUAUGCUGAAUCUAAACAUGUAUUUAGAUUUUUGAUUAUGGGCCCAGUUUUCAAGUUGGUCCAAAUCGGGGUCCAAAAUUAAACUUUAUUUGAUUUCAACAAAAAUUUAAUAUAUGGGGUUCUUUGAUAUGCUGAAUCUAACCAUGUAUUUAGAUUUUUGAUUUUUGGGCCCCGUUAUCAACUUUGUCCACAUUGAGGUCAAAAGGGUCCAAAAUUAAACUUUGUUUGAUUUCAUCAAAAAUUGAAUUCUUGGGGUUCUUUGAUAUGCUGAAUCUAACCAUGUAUUUAGAUUUUUUAUUUGUGGACCCCCUAUCAAAUUGGUUCAUAUUGAGGUCAAAAGGGUCCAAAAUUAAACUUUGUUUGAUUUCAUCAAAAAUUGAAUUAUUGGGGUUCUUUGAUAUGCCAAAUCUAACCGUGUAUUUAGAUUUUUAAUUUUGGGUCCCGUUUUUAAAUUGGUCUACAUUAAGGUCCAAAGGGUCCAAAAUUAAACUUAGUUUGAUUUUAACAAAAAUUGAAUUCUUGGGGUUCUUUGAUAUGCUGAAUCUAAACAUGUGUUUAGAUUUUUGAUUAUGGGCCCAGUUUUCAAGUUGGUCCAAGUUGGGGUCCAAAAUUAAACUUUGUUUGAUUUCAACAAAAAUUGAAUAUAUGGGGUUCUUUGAUAUGCUGAAUCUAAACAUGUAUUUAGAUUUUAGAUUUUUGGCCCAGUUUUCAAAUUGGUCCAAAUUGGGGUCCAAAAUUAAACUUUGUUUGAUUUCAACAAAAAUUGAAUAUAUGGGGUUCUUUGAUAUGCUGAAUCUUACCAUGUAUUUAGAUUUUUUAUUUUGUGUGCCUGCUAUCAAAUUGGUUCAUAUUGAGGUCAAAAGGGUCCAAAAUUAAAC